AGAAUUUAGAUGCUGGGGGAAACUGAGUGACUCAGUGGAUUGAGAACCAGGCAAAGAAAGGGGAGGUCCCAAGUUCAAAUCUGGCCUCAGCCACUUCUUAGCUGUGUGACCCUGGGUGACUGAGGCCAAAUGAAUAAUGGAACAGAAAAAUGCUAAGAAAUCACAGAACUGGAGCAACCCCAUGGGAUAGCCAAAGGAAAAUAAACACAUAUAGCCAGAGGCAGAUCUGGCCAUAGAAAGAGAAAGUGGACUCUUGCCACAGUCAUCUUAUUAGGACAAUUGUAGAAUCAAUUCAUUUAGUAACUAGAAAUUUGAUAGUGAUGUGGUCAUUGUAGCAGAACUAUAAUGAGGAUUGAGGGAUUAUCCAGAAUAAAGUUGGGAACCUU